AACGAACGCUGGCGGCAUGCCUAACACAUGCAAGUCGAACGAGACCUUCGGGUCUAGUGGCGCACGGGUGCGUAACGCGUGGGAACCUGCCCUUAGGUUCGGAAUAACUCCCCGAAAGGGGUGCUAAUACCGGAUAAUGUCUUCGGACCAAAGAUUUAUCGCCUUUGGAUGGGCCCGCGUUGGAUUAGCUAGUUGGUAGGGUAAAAGCCUAUCAAGGCGACGAUCCAUAGCUGGUCUGAGAGGAUGAUCAGCCACUGGGACUGAGACACGGCCCAGACUCCUACGGGAGGCAGCAGUGGGGAAUAUUGGACAAUGGGCGAAAGCCUGAUCCAGCAAUGCCGCGUGAGUGAUGAAGGCCUUAGGGUUGUAAAGCUCUUUUACCCGGGAUGAUAAUGACAGUACCGGGAGAAUAAGCUCCGGCUAACUCCGUG
rnacentral:rRNA from 1 species